UACUACAUCACAUUUUGCCGCGCGGCAAGCGUUUCCGCGUCCAGUGUGCAGGAGCCAUUAGUAACAUGUAUUGUCAUUAGAAAACCAAGUUUACACAAUCCUCGACUGAGUACAGAAUUUAUAUUCUGUAACUGUUUUCACGCCUAUCGAUAGUUGUCGAUGUCAUUGCGCAGCUUUUACACUAUAUAAAAUAUCUGCGCAACGACACCGACAACGGUCGGUAGAUAAAGAUAGUUAUGGAAUCAUGUUCCUGAUGAUUGAGCGUUGUGUCGACGAUAACGGACAAUUGGAAUGCAACUUGUGUCGCAGUGUGCAGGAAAGUGUCUAAGGAUAUUGCAAUUGGAAAGCACUCAAUAUGUCUGAAAAAUUCGCGGAAUGAUAUUUUUCUUAUGAGACAAAUCGCCCCAUCUAACGGCCGACGUUAGAAAUAGUUUCUAAGAACUUCAUGCAGAAUAUGUGCGAGUUAUAUUAAUAUCGAUUGAAUACUUGGCAAGUGAAGAUGUGUUUUGAUUUAUGUGUUUAAGUGUGUCGUUCAAAUUUUACGAUGAAGCAAUGAGCGUGUAUCAAAUUUUGUUUCAAACUUGGCAAAACUGCAAUGGAAACUCAUGAAAUGAUGAAAACAGCGUUCAGAAAGGAUGCACCGUUACGCACAGUAACAUUCGACUGGUUUAAACGUUUUAAGGAAGGCUGGCAGUCACUGGAUGACGACGCGAGAAGUGAUCGACCGCCAACGGUUCGAAAUGAGAAAGUUGUGGAAGCUGUGCGUUCUUUAUUAACCCUCGUCUGACACUUCGUGCGAUAUCUGAACAGAGAAGGAAACGUGGUCAUAACCUAACGAAGACGAAGAAGAAAAGAAAAUCGUUCGUGAGAUCGCUUAGCGGAUGCGUGUUUGUCUCCAAAAUUGGCGGGAACUGGGAGCCAUAUUGGAUUAAGAACAAGAAAAAGACCUUUGUGCUUAAAAAUUCUUUGUAUCGUAACUAUUCUAGUAUAGUCUAUCAUAGAACGCAAGGUUUAUUAUAAUACAUAAUUGGUAAACGAUACAAGUGUGUGAAAUUUGUAAACCAUUUAUCGGAUGCAGAAUGCUUACGCCAAGCUUUGGCCAAAGUCUGUGCCUCGGACAACAUUCUCGACAAUAUAAUAAAGGAAAAAGGAAUUGUAUUGCAAAAAGCUAUUCCAGGGAAAAGUAGGCUUUGCGACAUUGAAGAAGAAGAAAUUUCUACUGAAAGUGAUAUUACAGUCUUAUUGAUAGAACUUAACUCUGCUUUUUCAACAUCUCUUCCUGUUGUUACUACAAGUAGUACAAUGAUUUGUACACAGAAUUUAGAAUCUGAACAUAUUAUGGAGAUGGAUAUCAACGAUAUUCCUUUUAUUAUUCAGGAACAGGUUCUGUUUGAAUUCUGCACUAAUAUAAAAAAAUGGAAGGAGGAAGAAGCUACAGAAGUCUUCAUUACAAAAGUAAAGUAUUAUGAUUGAAGUCCUAAUACAGCAUUUUGGCAUUGAACAGAAUGAAUUAGGCGAUUCACCUCGAUUAGUUUUGUUCACAAUGGAGGAAGGUAUUGCUGCAGCCUAUAUUGUCACAGAUGAGAUUAGAAUGAAAAUUUUUCAGCCAUCUGUUUGCAAAUCAGUAGCUUGUUUAUUGGCUUCAUAUUAUGUUUGGGAUACAAAGUACUCCAAUGCAUACAAAAACACAAUGGAAUACAUUGAUCAUGAAGUGAUGGGAACAAUAAUAAAGGAAAAUCCAGCUAUAGACAAAUUCAUCAGGGAUCGUAUCCGUCCUUAAGAGUAUAAUGUAUCGAUACGUGAUCUAGUAAAAUUAUGUGAAAAUUA
rnacentral:lncRNA from 1 species